rnacentral:piRNA from 1 species
UGAACACUGGGCCACUUACCUCAAUGUUA